UUAAGUUAAUAAGGGCGCACGGUGGAUGCCUUGGCACUAGGAGCCGAAGAAGGACGGGACUAACGCCGAUAUGCUUUGGGGAGCUGUAAGUAAGCUUUGAUCCAGAGAUUUCCGAAUGGGGAAACCCAACACUCUUUAUCGGGUGUUACUAUUGACUGAAUACAUAGGUCAAUAGAGGUAGACGCAGAGAACUGAAACAUCUAAGUACCUGCAGGAAGAGAAAGAAAAAUCGAUUCCCUGAGUAGCGGCGAGCGAAACGGGAAUAGCCCAAACCAGAAAGCUUGCUUUCUGGGGUUGUAGGACUGAACACAUAGAGUCAUAAAUGAACGAAGUAGGAGAAGCGACCUGGAAAGGUCCGCCGAAGAGGGUAAUAGCCCCGUAACUGAAACUUCGUUCACUCUGAUCAGUAUCCUGAGUACGGCGGAACACGAGAAAUUCCGUCGGAAUCCGGGAGGACCAUCUCCCAAGGCUAAAUACUCCCUAGUGACCGAUAGUGAACCAGUACCGUGAGGGAAAGGUGAAAAGAACCCCGGAAGGGGAGUGAAACAGCACCUGAAACCGUGUGCUUACAAGUAGUUAGAGCCCGUUAAUGGGUGAUAGCGUGCCUUUUGUAGAAUGAACCGGCGAGUUACGAUCCCAUGCGAGGUUAAGUUGAUGAGACGGAGCCGUAGCGAAAGCGAGUCUGAAUAGGGCGAAUGAGUAUGUGGUCGUAGACCCGAAACCAAGUGAUCUACCCAUGUCCAGGUUGAAGGUGCGGUAAUACGCACUGGAGGACCGAACCCACGUAUGUUGAAAAAUGCGGGGAUGAGGUGUGGGUAGCGGAGAAAUUCCAAUCGAACUUGGAGAUAGCUGGUUCUCUCCGAAAUAGCUUUAGGGCUAGCCUCGGAAUUAGAAUCAUGGAGGUAGAGCAACUGUUUGGACUAGGGGCCCUUCUCGGGUUACCGAAUUCAGAUAAACUCCGAAUGCCAUUGAUUUAUAUCCGGGAGUCAGACUACGAGUGAUAAGAUCCGUAGUCGAGAGGGAAACAGCCCAGACCACCAGCUAAGGUCCCAAAGUUUAUGUUAAGUGGAAAAGGAUGUGGGGUUGCUUAGACAACUAGGAUGUUGGCUCAGAAGCAGCCAUCAUUUAAAGAGUGCGUAAUAGCUCACUAGUCGAGUGACCCUGCGCCGAAAAUUUACCGGGGCUAAACAUAACACCGAAGCUGUGGAUAGAACUUAGGUUCUAUGGUAGGAGAGCGUUCUAAGGGCGUCGAAGCUAGACCGUGAGGACUGGUGGAGCGCUUAGAAGUGAGAAUGCCGGUAUGAGUAGCGAAAGACGGGUGAGAAUCCCGUCCACCGAAUGACUAAGGUUUCCUGGGGAAGGCUCGUCCUCCCAGGGUUAGUCGGGACCUAAGUCGAGGCCGAUAGGCGUAGACGAUGGAUAACAGGUUGAGAUUCCUGUACCAGUUUGUUUUGUUUGAACAAUGGAGGGACACAGUAGGCUAAGGAAUACGCACUGUUGGAUAUGUGCGUCCAAGCAACAAGUCUUGAGGUGAGUCAAAUGCUUGCCUCUAUUAAGGACAAGUUGUGAUGGGGAGGGAAAUUAAGUACCGAAGUUCCCGAUGUCACACUGUCAAGAAAAGCUUCUAGUUAGAAACAAUCUGCCCGUACCGCAAACCGACACAGGUAGUCGAGGAGAGAAUCCUAAGGUGUGCGAGCGAACUCUCGUUAAGGAACUCGGCAAAAUGACCCCGUAACUUCGGGAGAAGGGGUGCUGACCAAUUGGUCAGCCGCAGUGAAUAGGCCCAAGCAACUGUUUACCAAAAACACAGGUCUCUGCUAAAUCGAAAGAUGACGUAUAGGGGCUGACGCCUGCCCGGUGCUGGAAGGUUAAGAGGAUGGGUUAGCUCUCGAGCGAAGCUCAGAAUUGAAGCCCCAGUAAACGGCGGCCGUAACUAUAACGGUCCUAAGGUAGCGAAAUUCCUUGUCGGGUAAGUUCCGACCCGCACGAAA
rnacentral:rRNA from 1 species